UGAACGCUAGCGACAGGCUUAACACAUGCAAGUCGAGGGGGUAACAGGGUAGCAAUACCGCUGACGACCGGCGCACGGGUGAGUAACGCGUAUGCAACCUGCCUAUAACUGGGGAAUAGCUCCCUGAAAGGGGAAUUAACACCGCAUAACACUAUUGAUUCGCAUGGAUUGGUAGUUAAAUGUAGCGAUACAGGUUAUAGAUGGGCAUGCGUGACAUUAGCUAGUUGGUGAGGUAACGGCUCACCAAGGCUACGAUGUCUAGGGGUUCUGAGAGGAAGGUCCCCCACACUGGUACUGAGACACGGACCAGACUCCUACGGGAGGCAGCAGUGAGGAAUAUUGGUCAAUGGGCGCAAGCCUGAACCAGCCAUGUCGCGUGCAGGAAGACUGCCCUAUGGGUUGUAAACUGCUUUUAUAGUAGAAGAAACACAUCUACGCGUAGAUGUCUGCCAGUAUACUAUGAAUAAGCAUCGGCUAACUCCGUG
rnacentral:rRNA from 1 species